rnacentral:snoRNA from 1 species
UGCAGCUGUGUCAAAUUCAGUGCCUGCCCCACCCAUGGCUGGCACUGGCCCAAAAGGCUGCCACAGAGACACGGUAACUCAUGGGCCCUGUUCCUCUCUGCUGAGCCUCAGGGAUAAAUUUGUUACAGACAUUG